CGCGGAGUAGAGCAGUCUGGUUAGCUCGUUGGGCUCAUAACCCGAAGGCCAGUGGUUCAAAUCCACUCUCCGCUAC
rnacentral:tRNA from 1 species